UAGUAGAAGUUUAAUUUAAAGGUUUCCCCAGUUGUUAUGGAAUAUAUCAACACAAUGCCUACGUGUAAUUCAUAUGGGUGUGUCUUGUGUCUUAUGUUUAAUAAAAGAUGAUGCCCUAACCCGUAGCUGGUGUUGUGAACUUUGUUGAACCUAGCUUCACGC